rnacentral:misc_RNA from 1 species
UAAAACUAAAACUGAUUUACAAAAAUAUAUAAAAUAUUUGAAAAAACAAAUUUUACUUUUAAAAAAAUGUAUAAAAAAUAGGGCUACCUGUAUUAGAAAUUUUCAUUGUGUAGAGGCGAACAUGUCCAUCCUUAAAACCUAUGUAGAAAAUUUUAAAAACAGAUUACAUGUUAGAAAAAAUAGUAAUAGAGGGUUAUUGUGGCAGGAUUUGGAAUCUUGUUUUAAUAGCAGAGUUAAGACAGGCGUUAUUAUAAAUUUAAAAUAUAAAGACCCCAAACUAUUUAUGGAAAAGGCUUUUAAAAGUUUUUCAGUUCAAAUUAAGAAAAAUUUAGUUUCAUGUAUGUUAAAAGUUAAUGUAAUUUUUUAUGGACUUUUCAUCAAACCUCAAGAUGGGGAAACGUCUGUUAAACAUUUUUCCACGAAAAAUGAAAUAAUUGAUCAAAAUACAAACAUAAAGGAUUGGUAUAAAAUCAAUUGUAUAGAUCGAGUUUUAAGAAAGUUUGAAGAUUUUCAAGAAAAAGACAGUGGAUGGGCACUAUCUCACAUUUUAAACUUAAAAGUUAAUAUAAACAAAUAUGAUCCAUUACUUGGUGGUAUUUCAACAUACGUUGAGCUACCUAAGUCUAUAAAAAAUACUAGAAGUGUAAUUAAUGUUAGGAAUUCUGAUCCUUAUUGUUUUCUUUGGUCCGUUGUUGCUGCCUUACAUCCUGCCACAAAAAAUGUUGACCGAACAUCAUCCUAUCCUCACUUUAGUAAAAUAUUAAACUUUAAUAACAUCAGUUUUCCCAUUGAUCUUAAAGAUAUUCCAAAAUUUGAAAAAUUAAAUAAACUUGCUAUAAAUGUCUUUACAUUAGGAACAAGAAACGAAAUUCUACCUUUGAUAUUUAGCCAGACAAAUUUUUCUCCUCGUAUAAAUCUACUUGUAUUAAAUGCCAUGGAGAAUAGUGUAAGUGAUGAUAAUGAUGAGGAGGAGGACAUAAAACAGAGGGUAUUUCAUUUUGCUUAUAUUAAACAUUUUUCAAGAUUAUGUGGUAAAAACAUUGGGAACAUUCGAAAUAAAAAAUGGUUUUGUGAGCGAUGUUUUAAUCAUUUUAGUAGUGAGACAUAUUUACAAAAUCAUUUAGACGAUUGUUUUAAGCUAAAUUCUGUUAAAAUGGUUUUACCUACCGAAAAAAAUUAUAUAAUGAAAUUUAAAAAUUUUAAUCACAAAGAACGUGUUCCGUUCGUUAUAUAUGCAGAUCUUGAAAGUAUUCUUACCAAAUGUAAUAAUAAUAUUAAUUUGAAAACUUGUUUCACUGAAAAGCAUGAAGCUUUCAGUAUAGCUUAUUAUUUUAAAUGUUCUUAUGAUGAUUCUUUAUCCUAUUUUAAAAUAUAUACGGGUCGUGAUUGUCAAACAUGGUUUGUAAAAGAACUGGAAGAGAUUGCUUGGAAAAUAUAUAGAGAAAAUUUAUUUCAAAAAUUUCAAAAAGUUAUAACAUUAACUGAUAAAGAACAGAAAGAUUUUAAUUCCAGUAAUUAUAGGACUUCGUACACAAUUCCUGUCACAUUUCAUAAUCUCUCUGGCUACGACGCCCAUUUUUUAAUUAAAAGUCUUAACUCUGAUAUAAAAGGACAUCUAUCACUAUUACCGAUAAACAAAGAGAGGUAUAUAUCAUUUACCAAAUUUAUCCAUGGCACUAAUAUUAGUUUUAGAUUUAUUGAUUCCUUUAGAUUUAUGUCUUGUUCAUUAGAUCAACUUUCCUCAUAUCUAGAUGAUAACCAAAAAAAUAUUACACGCAGAUAUUUUAAUGAUGAUUCGAAGUUUAAUUUGGUUAAAAGAAAGGGUAUUUUCCCUUAUGAGUAUUUAGACAGUUGGGAGAAGUUACAGGUCACUUGUCUUCCAUCUAUUGACGAUUUUUAUAGUAAAGUCAAUAACGAGGGAAUUACUAAAGAGGACUAUCAACAUGCCUGCAACGUUUGGACUAGAUUUCAGAUAAAAAACCUGCAGGAAUAUGCAGAAUUGUAUUUAAAAACAGACGUACUACUUUUGACUGAUAUUUUUGAGAAUUUUCGAUCUAUGUGUUUAAAAACUUAUGGAUUGGAUAGUCUUCAUUAUUAUACUUUACCAGGAUUAGCCUUUGAUGCUAUGUUAAAAGUAACCAAUAUCGAAUUGGAAUUAUUAAGAGAGAGUGAGAUGGUUUUGUUUUUUGAAAAAGCAAAACGAGGAGGAGUUUCACAAUGUAGUAAUAGAUAUGGAGAAGCUAAUAAUAAAUAUAUGAAAGAUAAAUACAAUCCUGAUAAAGAAGUCUCUUAUCUAAUAUAUUGGGAUUUUAAUAAUCUUUAUGGUACAGCGAUGAGUUACGCGUUGCCAUAUGCAGGCUUUGAAUGGAUUAAUUUGACUGAUAUUUAUAAGGAAAACAUAUUAGAUUGUCCCAAUGAUGGAGAAUAUGGAUACAUACUUGAGAUAGACAUCGAAUAUCCAAAAGAACUUUUUAAUUUACAUAAAGAUUUGCCUCUUUGUCCUGAACACAUAAUCCCACCAUCUUCUAAUUCAACAAUUCCUAAAUUAUUAACCACAUUGUACGAUAAAAAAAAUAUGUUAUUCAUUAUAUAUAUUUGAAACAGAUUGUUAGCUUAGGUUUGAAAAUAAUAAAAAUUCAUCGAUGUUUGAAAUUUAAACAAUCCCCUUGGUUAAAAAAAUAUAUUGAUCUAAACAUUGACUUGCGAAAGAAAAGCAAAAAUGAAUUUGAAAAAAACUUAUUUAAACUUUUUAUCAAUGCCCCUUACGGAAAAAGUAUUGAAAAUGUAAGAAAACAUAGAGAAAUAAAAAUUGUUAACAAAUAUAAUGGAAGAUAUGGAGCAAAUUUCUAUAUCUCACAACCUAAUUUUCAUAGUUGUACUAUUUUCGAUGAACAGACUGUAAUAAUUGAAAUGACAAAACAAAAAGUCAAUUUUAAUAAACCAAUAUAUAUAGGGAUGUGUAUUUUGGAUAUUUCCAAAACCAUUUUAUAUGACUUUCAUUAUAAUUAUGUCAUAAAAAAAUUUAAAGAUCAAGCAAAAUUGUUAUAUACCGAUACAGAUAGUUUAAUAUAUCAGUUUUUUGUUGAUGAUUUAUAUAAACAUAUUAAAGAAGAUAUUGACAAAUUUGACACAUCAGACUACAAAGAGGAUAAUGUAUAUAGUAUUCCAUUACGGAAUAAAAAAGUAUUAGGUCUCAUGAAAGAUGAGAACCAAGGGGAAUUGAUGACACACUUCAUAGGAUUACGUUCGAAAAUGUACACUAUGAAAAUUUUAAAUCAGCAAGCGGAAAUAAAAAAGGCUAAAGGAAUCAAAAAAUCUGCAUUAAAAGAACUGUCAUAUGAUGAUUAUUAUGCAAGUUUAUUUAAUAAAGUAAUAGUGGAAAUUUACCAAAAUUCAAUCAUUUCGAAAAAGCAUGAUGUUUAUACAAUGUCUCAAAUAAAGGUAGCACUCAGUCCAUACGAUGAUAAGAGAAUAAUAAAUUAUUUAUCCCCUGACACUCUUCCAUGGGGUUUCAAUGAUAAAUAAUUUAUUAUUAUUAUUUUAUAAAAUUUUGUAAAUCGUUUUUUAAUUAAUCUACAGCCACUCAACACGAAGCUCAGCUGGUACGGUAUUUAUACAUUGAAUAAAAUAUGUUUUUAAAUAAAGCUCCUUUUUAUUUUAGUCUCAAUUAAAUAAAUGGGAGGCAGUUUUCAUAGACCAAAAACGAUUUGUAAAAUUAAAAUUUAAGACUGAAAAAACCAUAAUACCUCAAACUCUACCUACAAUCUUCUGGGAUACAAAAACAUAUGGAACAAUACCAUGUUUUGAUUGUAAGAGAUUUUUUUGUUUUUGUGACAGAUCCUUAGAAAUUCACAAGGACACUAAUAUGUAUUGUUAUGAAACUAUGCCUGAUUCAUAAAAAGCCCUUAAUCCAUCGACCAUUACCAGCUUCUGGUGUGGGUGUACUUAAAAUUAAAGAAGAGAUUUUGUCCGAUGAAGAUUUUAAUUAUAGAAAAAAUUACAAUGCCCAAAUACCAGAUGACCAUCCACUACACAGAGACGACUUAAUUUGGGCCCGGUACAUUGAUCAGGUGACGUGGUCGUAUUGGAUGGAUAUUAAAACAACCUUAUGGAACGACAUAGCUGUGUAUCACUAUUAUGAAUUAAACUAUCUUGUAUAAUAAACUUUUAGAUUUGGUACGUUGCUUUUUCUUUAAGUUCC